GUGUCAGCCGCCGCGGUAAUACGAAGGGGGCUAGCGUUGCUCGGAAUCACUGGGCGUAAAGCGCACGUAGGCGGCUUUCUAAGUCAGGGGUGAAAUCCUGGAGCUCAACUCCAGAACUGCCUUUGAUACUGGAGAGCUAGAGUCCGGAAGAGGUGAGUGGAACUGCGAGUGUAGAGGUGAAAUUCGUAGAUAUUCGCAAGAACACCAGUGGCGAAGGCGGCUCACUGGCCCGGUACUGACGCUGAGGCACGAAAGCGUGGGGAGCAAACAGGAUUAGAUACCCUUGUAGUCC
rnacentral:rRNA from 1 species